UCGACUCUGUGCCACUAAUAAUCACAGCCCUCUGAGCUCUGCCAGUCUGCCAGUUCUGAAUCCACCUCAGUGUCCACUCACCUUUCCCACACUUUCUAAGCUUUCUUACAAUAAGUUUGUGGGAGGCAAUGUCAAAGGACUUGCAGAAGUCGAAGUACACAACAUCCCUUGUUCGCGCCUCAUCUACCUAGCCAGUGAUGACAUCACAGAAGGCUACCAGGUUAUUCAAGCAUGAUUUCCCCAUGCUGAAGCUACGCUGACCACUCCUGAUACCCUCUUCUAAUUGCUUGGAGAUGACAUCCAGAACAAACUGUUUCAUCACCUUUCCAAGGACAGAGACUUCACGCCUGCUUGUUUAGAUGUGUGUCUGGAUAUCACUGCAGAAAUGAUAGCUGUAAGAAUACUCGGAGUUGUGCACAAAAGGCC
rnacentral:lncRNA from 1 species